rnacentral:rRNA from 1 species
GACAGAGGCGGCGAGCAUUGUUCGGAAUCACUGGGCAUAAAGGGCGAGUAGGCGGUAGGGCCAGUCUGGGGUUGAAUCCUAUGGCUCAACCAUAGAACUGCCUUGGAAACUGUUCUACUUGAGUCAGUGAGGGGAGGGCGGAAUUCCCGGUGUAGCGGUGAAAUGCGUAGAUAUCGGGAGGAAGGCCGGUGGCGAAGGCGGCCCUCUGGCGCUGUACUGACGCUGAGGCGCGAAAGCGUGGGGAGCCAACAGG